GACAGAGGGUGCAAACGUUGUUCGGAAUUACUGGGCGUAAAGCGCGUGUAGGCGGCAGGGCAAGUCGGAUGUGAAAGCCCACGGCUCAACCGUGGAAGUGCACCCGAAACUGCCUCGCUAGAGUCUCGGAGAGGAAGGUGGAAUGCUUGGUGUAGAGGUGAAAUUCGUAGAUAUCAAGCGGAACACCGGUGGCGAAGGCGGCCUUCUGGACCGGUAUUGACGCUGAGGAGCGAAAGCCAGGGGAGCAAACGGG
rnacentral:rRNA from 1 species